GAUGAACGCUAGCGGAAGGCUUAAUACAUGCAAGUCGAGCGGUAGGUGGCUUCGGCCAUUGAGAGCGGCGCACGGGUGAGUAACGCGUACAUGACCUGCCUGUCAGGAAGGGGAUAGCCCUGGGAAACUGGGAUUAAUACCCUAUGGUAUUGAUAUUAUGAAUGAUAUCAAUUAAAGUUGAGGCGCUGACAGAUGGAUGUGCGUCUGAUUAGCUAGUUGGUAGGGUAACGGCCUACCAAGGCGACGAUCAGUAGGGGGCGUGAGAGCGUGGUCCCCCACACGGGUACUGAGACACGGACCCGACUCCUACGGGAGGCAGCAGUAAGGAAUAUUGGUCAAUGCCCGCAAGGGUGAACCAGCCAUUCCGCGUGGAGGAUGAAGGCCCUAUGGGUUGUAAACUUCUUUUAGAUGGGAAGAAAAUGCUAGAUGUAUCUGGUACUGACGGUACCAUCAGAAUAAGCACCGGCUAACUCCGUG
rnacentral:rRNA from 1 species